CUCCUAUAUACUUUGGAACUCUUUCCUGAACCUAAACAUUAUUGCUAAGAAAUGGAUAACGGUGUGAGAGGCCGUCGCCUGCCAGCUGGGCUCACACGUCGAUGCAUAUGUCCCAUGUGACCACUGGGGACUUAGCAAGGACGCCAUGUUCCCUUGUUGUUUCUGGAUGCAUUUCACCUUUCCCCUGUCCUUAUGAAACCACCACCACACAGGUAAGAAUUAUCACUCUGACGGAGGGGAUGAGAAGGGCCUCCAGGGUUGAGUUUAAUGUAGGACAAUGCAGCUGGUCCUCUCCAUGGACAUACUCUCUGUGGAGGGAACCGUUCAUGCCCUCAGAUGGCAAAGUG
rnacentral:lncRNA from 1 species